rnacentral:rRNA from 1 species
UGCAAGUCGAGCGGAGAAUGCGGAUAUGUUUACAUGGAAGCAUUCUUAGCGGCGGACGGGUGAGUAACACGUGGGUAACCUGCCUCAAAGAGGGGGAUAGCCUUCCGAAAGGAAGAUUAAUACCGCAUAAGCCUGCAGUACCGCAUGGUACAGCAGGAAAAGGAGCAAUCCGCUUUGAGAUGGACCCGCGGCGCAUUAGCUAGUUGGUGAGGUAACGGCUCACCAAGGCGACGAUGCGUAGCCGACCUGAGAGGGUGAUCGGCCACAUUGGAACUGAGACACGGUCCAGACUCCUACGGGAGGCAGCAGUGGGGAAUAUUGCACAAUGGGCGAAAGCCUGAUGCAGCAACGCCGCGUGAAUGAUGAAGGCCUUCGGGUCGUAAAGUUCUUUGAUCAGGGAUGAUAAUGACAGUACCUGAAAAACAAGCCACGGCUAACUACGUGCCAGCAGCCGCGGUAAUACGUAGGUGGCGAGCGUUGUCCGGAAUUACUGGGCGUAAAGGAUGCGUAGGUGGAUACUUAAGUGGGAUGUGAAAUCCCCGGGCUCAACCCGGGAACUGCAUUCCAAACUGGGUAUCUAGAGUGCAGGAGAGGAAAGCGGAAUUCUUAGUGUAGCGGUGAAAUGCGUAGAUAUUAGGAGGAACACCAGUGGCGAAGGCGGCUUUCUGGACUGUAACUGACACUGAGGCAUGAAAGCGUGGGUAGCAAACAGGAUUAGAUACCCUGGUAGUCCACGCCGUAAACGAUGGGUACUAGGUGUAGGAGGUAUCGACCCCUUCUGUGCCGUCGUUAACACAAUAAGUACCCCGCCUGG